GUGGAAUUCAUUUAGCCCAUACAUCAGUAAGACGGUUGCAGAUUACGUUUGCCUGUCUCCGCCUCGCUCCGCCACCAGAAUCUCCUUCAAAAACACAGAGCAGUAAGGCAUGAUAAUGAUAGAAUUAGUGUAACGGUUACGACCUAAAAAAUAUGGUUUACUCAUUAGCAUCCAACUGUUUCCGCUCGUCACCUAUACUCUGCAGUACACUUCUCUAUCACAACAGCAACAACACUCACUCUCACUCCGCCGACGCCGCGUUUAUCAAACGCGCCGCCGAAUUAGCUGACAAAUCCUCCGGUUUUACUUCUCCACAUCCGAAUUUCGGCUGCGUAAUAGCAACUGCAUCGGGAAAUGUCGCCGGAGAGGGAUUUCUUUACGCGCAGGGAACUAAACCGGCUGAGUUUCAAGCUGUGGAGGCGGCUGGAGAGUGGAGUAAAGGCGCUACUGCUUAUCUUAAUUUAGAGCCUGGUGAUUGCGAUGGAGAUUAUACUGCUAUUUCUUCUCUUGUUCAGGCAGGGAUUACAAGAGUUGUGGUAGGCAUUAGGAAUCCAUUGAGACAUCUUCAAGGUAAUUCUAUUCGUGCUUUACGAAAUCAAGGUUUGCAGGUUGAUGUUCUUGGAGAGGAUCUUCAGAGUAAAAUUAUUGAGGAUGCUCGAAAAUCAUGUCUUCUUGUCAAUGCUCCUUUGAUUGUUAGAGCUACUUCUAAAGUUCCUUUCUCUGUUCUCAAGUAUGCCAUGACUCUUGAUGGAAAAAUUGCUGCUAGUUCUGGACAUGCAGCAUGGAUAAGCAGUAGACAGUCAAGGAAUCGAGUUUUUGAAUUGCGGGGAAGCAGUGAUGCCAUUAUUGUUGGAGGAAAUACUGUACGUCGGGAUAAUCCUCGGUUGACUGCAAGACAUGGCGGUGGGCAUAUGCCAAUGCGGAUUGUAAUGUCACAGACUCUUGAUCUUCCUGAAGAAGCCAAUCUUUGGGACAUCUCCGAGGUUCCUACUAUAGUUGCAACACAAAGAGGUGCCCGGAGGAGUUUUCAGAAACAACUUGCAUCAAAAGGAGUUGAAGUGGUGGAGUUUGAAAUCUUAAAUCCCAAAGAAGUUAUGGAAUAUUUCCAUGAUCGCGGAUAUCUUUCUGUUUUAUGGGAGUGUGGAGGGACACUUGCUGCUUCUGCUAUUUCUGCUGGUGUAAUACAUAAGGUUUAUGCAUUUGUUGCUCCCAAGAUUAUUGGUGGGAAGAAUGCUCCAUCACCUGUGGGCGAACUCGGGAUGGUCGAGAUGACGCAAGCCUUGGAUUUAAUUGAUGUUUGCUAUGAGAAGAUUGGACCAGAUAUGCUUAUUAGUGGAUUUAUCCAGCCAAUCCCAGAACUGACUCCAGUUGUCCCAUCAGAGGAUGAAACUUUUGCAAUUGAUCCUACUGUCAGUCCUUAUGAAUCCAGCAUCAUAUUCUUUUAUAAAACUUGGGAUCCUUAUGGAGCUUUUUCAAAUUUUUCUCCACAUCCGAUUCAAAUGCUUGAUGACAAUGGUGAGUAUGUCACAUGGUCAAGUGUGGAACAUUAUUACCAGGCGCACAAGUUUGCUGGGGUAAAUGAUCCUGAUGCAAAAGAUUGCAUCGAAAGGAUAAAAUCAGCCAGAAGUCCAGAGGAAGCAGCACGAAUGGGAAGGUCAAUGCAGAGGCAGCGCCCUAAUCUGGUAAGAUCUGAUUGGGACAAUGUCAAAAUUGACGUCGUGUACAAGGCAUUAAAAUGCAAGUUCUCAGUUUAUCCUCAUUUGAAUUCUAUGCUACUGUCAACUGCUGGAUCUGUUCUUGUGGAAGCUUCUCCACAUGAUCUCUUUUGGGGCGGAGGCCGGGAUGGUGAAGGCCUAAAUUAUCUGGGGAGGCUGCUGAUGCGGUUGAGAUCCGAGUUUCUGGUACGACGGUUGCAGUUUACGUUUGCGUAGUCGUCUCCACUUCGCUUCGCAGCGGGAAUCUCCGACAAAAACUCAGAGCAGCACCAUUCUCAAUCACAGUCACAAGAGCAACAGCAAUCACUUUCACUCCAGUGAUGCCGCGUUUAUCAAACGCGCAGCCGAGUUAGCUGAAAAAUCCUGCGGUGGAGGCAGCGGAGUUUCAAGCGGUGGAGGCAGCUGGAGAGUGGAGUAAAGGUGGUACUGAUGAUCUUAAUUUAGAGCCUGGUGAUUGCGAUGGAGAUCGUACUUCUAUUUCUUCUCUUGUUCAGGUAAUGCUAUUCUUCAGUGCUGUAUUCAUAUAUUAGAAUCAGCCGAAGUACAUGAUAUAAUAAGUGUGAUGUAUCCUGAAACAAUCUAGCAGGAAGAAUUCAGUCAACAAUUUAUCUGCGAAUCAAGGUAAGAUCUGAUUGGGACAAUGUUGAAAUUGAUGUCGUGUACUAGGCUUUAAAAUGCAAGUUCUCAGUUUAUCCUGAUUUUAAUUCUAUGCUACUGUCAACUGCUGGAUCUGUGCUUGUGGAAGCUUCUCCACAUGAUCUUUUUUGGGGCGGGGCCGGGAUGGUGGAUGCCUAAAUUAUCUGGGCAGGCUGCUGAUGCGCUUGAGAUCUGAGUUUCUGGGUGAGUCUUCUACAUCAAGUGAAAGCUCUUGCUUAGUCUUUAAUAAACAAAUGAAAUAGGAUAGGUCAUUGCUGUAUAUGUGCAUCAUAUGCUACAUUAGAUUAUAAACAGUUUGUAUUAUAGUCAAAUUUCAUCAAAAUACAAGUAUUUAAAACUAGACGAGGUUUCACUUAAAAGAAAUAGACAACCAGUUUUCGGUAUUGCCAAAACAUUUAAUAUCAUAAUUCCACUGCUUGUAUAAACACUUUUAGUUUAAUUAAUUGUAUUUACAACAAGUUCAA